rnacentral:rRNA from 1 species
UGGGGAAUAUUGGACAAUGGGCGCAAGCCUGAUCCAGCCAUGCCGCGUGAGUGAAGAAGGCCUUAGGGUUGUAAAGCUCUUUCAGCGGGGACGAUAAUGACGGUACCCGCAGAAGAAGCCCCGGCUAACUUCGUGCCAGCAGCCGCGGUAAUACGAAGGGGGCUAGCGUUGUUCGGAAUUACUGGGCGUAAAGCGCGCGUAGGCGGACAUUUAAGUCAGGGGUGAAAUCCCAGGGCUCAACCCUGGAACUGCCUUUGAUACUGGAUGUCUGGAGUUCGGGAGAGGUGAGUGGAAUUCCGAGUGUAGAGGUGAAAUUCGUAGAUAUUCGGAGGAACACCAGAAGCGAAGGCGGCUCACUGGCCCGAUACUGACGCUGAGGCGCGAAAGCGUGGGGAGCAAACAGG